ACAGGGAUAACUUUACUUUUUCUUUUUUACUGUAUAGUGUCUUGGUGUGUAAUGAGUGUCACUCAUGAAGAAUGCCAUCUUCUGGGAUGUGGCACUGUAUAGAUAUUGUGUAAACCGAUGUUUUAGAGGAGCGUAUCGCCUCCAUCUUCAGGGUAUAGAAAUCCACAAGCGAGGAAGUAGCAUGAGCAGGUGGCAGCAAUUUAAGUCACCUAAGUUGUCCUGUAGCUGUCAAGUCUUCUCCGCAGCAGGCCUUAGGGACGAGAGUUGUCAUAGGCACAAGGAUUGGCCACUUGCUUUGAUUAUGGAGUAGCGUAGGAGAUUUUGAAGGGUAAACAAUAUUUGAGCUUUGAAUACUUUGUCAUCUUCUCUAUGACUGGAUUGCAAGUCUCGUCUUGUGUCUCUGGAUUGACCCACUUGAGUAUUAGGGAGAUGUGCAUGAUGGUCAAGACAGGACGAAGUAAGCAAGCAAGACUAAUUAAUGAAUUAGUAUACAGUACUGCAGUAUCUUUUUCAGAGAUGAUGAAAAGUUGGGCAUCGCGAGUGCUACAGUGGUCCAACCUCAGACUUCAAAGAAAAGGAGGGCUUCAAACCAAAUGUUAAACUCGACUACAUUGAUGAUGAUGGACACGUACUUAAUGCAAAGGAGGCUUUCAGAUACUCUCUCACGAAUUUCAUGGAAAGGGAUCUGGCAAAAAUAAAGUGGAGAAAUGAAUGAAGAAAACUGAACAGGAAGGAUUGAUGAAACAGAUGAGCUCAACAGACACCCAGUUCGAACGCUUAGCCUCUUGCAGCAGAAGCAGAAAGAAAUGCAGUCUCCAUUCAUGGUCCUUAGUGGCAUUAAACAAACAUGAGGCAACCACCUCAAAAACAAAACUGUAAAUUCUUCAUGAAAUAUGCUGGCACCAACUCUGAACUUUGGCAUGGACUUAUGUUUUUAUUGUUUCUUACUGUCUGGAAUAUCAUCUCUAUUUUUAAAUAAAACACAGCUUGCAGCUGCUGACAUUGCCUAUGUGUACUGGAAGGAAGGCCACAGAGUUCAUGUCACAUUAAAAUGAGUACAGUGGUUCUCUUCCUUCCUUAGGUAACCUGUUGGCACCUGUAAGCUGAAAAGUACAAUUUCUAGUGAUUAGUUGCUUGCUUAUAGGACUUGAUGAACAGCCUCUAAGCUAAAUCAGACAUGACUUAAUUAUAUUUGGCCUUUCUUGAUUGCAAUAGCAAUAUGUAUCCUUCCAAGGGAAGAAAGAAACCCUUGUUCAGUUGUAGGUCAGUAUGAAAAGCUGUAAAAUUAUACAAGCAACAGAAUCAGAAGAUGUACAGUCUAAUGCAAAUCAUUGUAAAGCACCACUGAUAUAUCACUGAAACAUUUGUAAUGGGCUAUAAAAGUAACUUUGUUCAUCCUGGUCCGUCACACUAGUAAUUGUAUAUAAGGUUUUCAACCACUGUCCAGUGUGAUUGAUAAAAGUUGUUUCUAAUUUUUCAUCCUUUACGUGUUUCAGUCAAAAAUACCAUUUUCAGAAGGAUAUUAUCAACACAUAUGGAAACUACUGUUACA